UGAAGUUAGAUAGGUUCACAGAGGCCCAAACCCCGGGGUAAAAACAGAAUAAUUACCGAAGAACAUUAAUGCUGGUUGUGCAAUUCAGGACCGGCUAGUCUGUCGGCACCGGACAGAACCUAGUAACCGCACGACUACGACCUGAAUAAUAAGACUCCACCUCCGCCAGGCGGUGCUGCACUGCUGCUUUCCCCAGCGGUUCCUUCUCCAGACCCGGGACGAAACAGCGCUACCAUCGGCUGGUGAGGACACAGGCUAGGAUGCUGCCUUCAGGUGCUCUCCGUAAAUUCCUCAAUCAUACAAAGAAAUUUUAAAAGGAAAUCGAACGGCUUAUUCUCGCCUCUUAGAGCUAAAUAAAUAGCCUUUGUUUGUUAUAUAUAUUUUUUCAUAUAUAGUUUUAACUUAAGAAAAUUUUUAAAAGUAUUUUUCUGAUAAGCAUAGUAUAUAUUUAAAAGAUGACAGUACAUUUAAUUAAUUUUUCACUGUAAAAAAACUAGUGUUUUUUGUAGAUGUCCACUUCAUUUUGGAAUUUGCAAAAGAAGACAUUUCCCUUUAAAACAUUACACAGACGUAUUUAAAAAUGUUAUUAUACAUAAAGAUUAUAGCAGCAGAAAGGCUCCAGGUCUUCAGGAGAUUGGAAGAGUUGACUUUUAACACACAAAUACCUUGGAUAUAACUUGCAAUUGACUUAAUUUUAUAAAAGUUUUCUUUUUAACAUUACAUUAUUAGGGCCGUUUGGUGCCAAGCAGAGAUCUAGCUUCUAAAAUAAAUUUAUUGAUGAGUAAGUAUUGCUAUUAACUUCUCGUAAGUUAAUUAUAAGGAUGUGUUCAGUAAAUAUCAGCUUUAAAAAAGUCAGUUUUGUUUUAUAUAAACAUUUGAAAAGUACUUUUCCACCGACCAGACAAAUACUGCUUCAGUAAUUGUACUCUAAACACACAUGUUUAUGAUACAGGGUGGUCAGCUCUAAUUUGUUAGAGCUGACCACAAAAUGGACACAAAGGAAACAUUGGCAAUGAUUUAAAGUUCAUCUUUGUUUUAUUCAGAAGUUGGACUUCCAGGAUGUAAAAUCAGUUUUUUUUUUUUUUUAAAAAAUAGAUGUCGAUUCUCUGAUUAAACUAGUUUUUAAAAACAUUCAGGUAUAGUACACAAAAGUGAUAUUUUGACAUUAAACCAGAGUUGAACUGGGUCCGGUGACAGCAGGUCUGCUUCUGGGUUAAGCUAAUUAAUUUAACCCCUUUCUGGUUUCAAGCUAGUUCUCAAGGUUCUGCACAAAUUUCUCCAAAGCUUAAUUACAAUAAAACGUUUUAUUUCAGAUGAUAGAAAUUGGAUGAGACUGAAAGGAAGGAGACAAAAGACCUGUCAUAAUGUAAACAAUUUAUUGGAACAAUGUACAGAUUCAAGCAAUGGUAAUCAUUCACACCCACUACAUCAUUUUACAAAUAUUACAAAAUUACUACAGUACAAUAUAGAGUCUUUGCAUGAUCCAAAAUAUUUGGUGGCCCCAAAAGUAUUACUUUUUUUUUCUUAAUUCAGCAGCUUAUUUUAAAAAAAAAUGAAACCAAGUCUAUCAAAAUGAUGUUUUUGCUUUUCAUAGCAAAAAAUGUGAAGGCAGAUUAACUAUUGAAGUUUAAAGGCUAAUCGAGUUACAGAAUACAGGAGCUCUUUGCACAGUCGUCGCUAACUACCGGUUGGUACUUUAUAAAAUGCGGUCGUUUAAUAAAGCUUUGUAGAAAGUCAAACUUGUACUUGCAAACUUUUUUUUUCUCUUUAUGGUUUUCAACUCCCUGGUUUUGUUUUAAUACAGUUAUGCUAAAUAUCUAUUGCAAAUCAACAAAAUCCCCAAAUGUUUGCUCCUAUGGCAUUGUGUAGAGAUUACACUGUUCAAUCACAAUCAUUUUAGGCAAAAAAGUUGAUGAAAUAUGUGCAAGUUAUAGUUGCUGAAAUGUUUUUUUUAACCCCUAGCUUUGACAGCUCACAGUGCUGCAAGUAACAUCAGCUAACAUCCGACAUCCACGUUUAUCCGUUUCUUGCAUGAAAAUCAAGCUUUUUAACUAUUCUUCAGGACGUUUACGGGGGGGCUGCAUAAAAGGUGUACACAUUAAGGAAAUUAUAAACAAACAAACGAAAAAAAACAACAACAAAAAAACACUGGAACAAAAGCAACCUGAGGUUUACACUUAGAAAAGACAUAUUCAAGUGGUGAUACACAACUACAAUGUUUAGCAGCGGUCAAGUCAGAAGGACAGCACAGUAACAACGGGCGUUCAUUUGUGUGUGUGUGUGUGUGGGUUUGUUUUUUUUUGUUUUGUUUUUCUCAGACGUACAAUCUUUCAGUGGAAGAAUACGAGGACUGAACACACCCCAUCUAGCUGUGAUCACGCCACUUCUCUGUGUGCCAAACAGCUGGAAUGUGCCAGACAAAAAAAAAAGAAAAACACAUUUUGAACAAAGAAUGAUGGGGGGGAAACAUACACGCACACACGUAAGUAUUUGCCUCUGUAUUCCAUGAUGCAUUUAUUACGUCUUGUAAUUUUUAACAUCGAAUGAUACCUACAAGAAACCAGCUGCAGUCCCCUUCAAAAGUACUCAGCUUUUCUACAUCGUGUCAGACUAUAACCACAAAUUUCAAUGGAUUUUUUUUGUGAGACGUUAUGGGGUGAACAUAAAGCAAUAUAGCAGGCCGAUUUCAUCCAAAAUCAGUUUUACAACAAAUGACAUUCCAGAUAUCUGAUGUUGCUUUAUGAGCAGAUGUAUUAGUAAAUUGAGAUAGAUUUAAGAUACAUCAUCUAAUACAAAUGAUGUCCGGUUCCCCAAUAAUUUGAAUGGAAGCUUUAAUUCUAGGUAUCUGCAAUCAAUUACUGACCAUCUGAAACAUAUUUCAGAUAUGAAUAGUUAAAUCAUAACUAGUCAUAAAGUAGUUCUGGCUAGUCGCAAUUCUAAUUAAAUACGUCUUGGAUGACACCACAAUUCGAGAUAUGUCAAACGUAUUUUUUUUUUUUUUUUUUAGAUUUGACAAGUGCAAAUUAAAUUGCAGAUAUCUUCAAAGCAAAUAAUGAUUAAGCAAAACCUAAAUUGAAGAAAUCUGGGAACUGAACCUUGGAUUAGUAUGAAAGCGUGUUCUUGUGUCAGAAUGGACCGGUCAACGUCCAGAGCCAAAUCCAAUUAGGAAUUUUUGCAAAACACUCCUGUUAAAAGAUGAAGCUCUCCAUUCUGCCUGAGCGAGUUUGAGCUAAUUUGUAGAAAAUGGGUUAAAAUGUGUAAAGCUGGAGGCUGAAUCCAAUGCGUGCCACACUUUUCAGAUUUUUUUUAAAUUUUUUACACGCUUCAUGAACUUUACAUCUUUUAUCUUGCGUUUACUCUUAGUUACUACCGUUAUUUGAGUCACAAUUUGUGGCUGUAGUGUGUCAAAAUGUAAAAAAAAAGAUUUUAAAGGGGUUUGAAAACUUUUGAAAGGAACUGGUUAUAUCCCUAUAAGUAUAAAGCUACAUUAGCAGUCCAAUUGCAUCAAGAUGCUUAUUGCAUUAGGUGAAAACUUUUCAGCAGCAAUAAUUAAUCCUCAGUAGGGGUUUGGCUACAUUAUUUCAAGUACUUUUUAGUACAUUUUUUUGUUUUAUAUGUGCAUUACAAAGAAUUAAAUACUGCAGUUAUUACUCUGGCCAGCAGAGGAAAAAAAUGCCUGGCUGGGUGUUUAAAAAAAAAAAGAACAAAUUAAUAAAAACAAAACUAUCUCUCUUACUCAUCAUGGAAUACAUUCAGGCUGUAACCUUUUAACAGUUUGACACUUAAAAAAUAUAUAUAUAACAGCACAGAACAGGCAGACACAUUAAACAUUCUUCACAGUAUUUUAAAACUACAUCCAGUUAACGGGGCAGGGGGAAGAUCAGGGAGAGCGCUCCGGUUUGCGAUACGCGAGGUUAAUACACGUCCCAGUGUUGCAAUACAGACAUCGUCCACUAUGUACUUCUUAAAACGUCGAAUUGAAGCUCCCCUCCCUCCCGCAGAACCCUCUUCCCACCAAAUGUUUUCGCGCGAGGGGCCACCAACAUGCAAGAGAUGAAAAGCAUCCAAGUACCCCACAGUGACAGCCACCCGACACAGUAACACAGCCACCCUCAGGAUCAUGCUUUUUUUUCCAAGCACAGGAAGCGAAAAAACCAGCAACAGAAUUUCAAUACACUGAGAAAUCAACAUAUUCAACACUGAUCUGAUGAAGUGUGUGUGAGUGUAUGCGGGUGUGUGGUUCUGAUUCACGAAACUCACAGACAUGUUUUUGUAUCACUGAGGUUAAAAAUAAAAAAAGGAGACACACACAGGCUGAUGACCUGCAUGCUCUACUUCAGUUUUCCUUCAGAAAUUUCAGACAAUAA